rnacentral:misc_RNA from 1 species
AACACCUCGACUUUUUCUCAAAGUUGGACUUGAGCAAUCUCCAAACUCUCUCUCUCUAGGAGUGUGUGCGGAAUGCUUAAAAUGCAGGUGCAGCUGGGAGUUCCCCAUUUCAUUGUCCUAGGCUACAAGCAUUUCUGCUUAAUCCCGUCAAACCGGAUUAUACCUUUUUGCUGCAGCCAAACGAUAGUUGGGCCCCGAAACGCUGACUGAUGCAGGAUGAUUGACAACAGAUUUCGAUCUUUGUUCUGUUCC